CACGUAGGGGGCAAGCGUUGUCCGGAAUCAUUGGGCGUAAAGAGCUCGUAGGCGGCUCAGUAAGUCGGGUGUGAAACCUCCAGGCUCAACCUGGAGACGCCACCCGAUACUGCUGUGGCUAGAGUCCAGUAGGGGAGUGUGGAAUUCCCGGUGUGAGCGGCUGAAAUGCGCAGAUAUCGGGAGGAACACCAGCGGCGAAGGCGGCACUCUGGGCUGGUACUGACGCUGAGGAGCGAAAGCGUGGGUAGCAAACAGG
rnacentral:rRNA from 1 species